GUUUGGCGUUGCAGCUGUGUGGGCGCUGGUGCGUGCGAGUAGCGCUCGAAGAAACCCAAAGGCGUCGUGGGGCUGCCGUGUGCCCCAGAGAGCACUGCAGGCCGGGUAGGGGCUAAGGCUCCCCGCAGUCUUCUGUGUGUCGUCCAGUACGCAGUUGAAAUCGUUCUCCAACCUGGCCAGUCCUCCGAGGCCCUUCUCAGGCGACCAGACUCUGUUAACAGAGUCCAUUGCUAAAACUCCUCGUUAGUAUUUACCACUCCUCCAGUCUGUGUUUUGAAGCAGUGGUUUUCAACCACUGCCCGUUUUCAGAAGAAAUCAUCUCAAGCGUCCGUGUGCUGCUAGAAGCCGGGCCGGGAGGUCUUGGUGCCGGACUCCACCCUGCAGCCCUUCCCUUUCGCCACCGCCCUGUGCUUAGAGAAACCUUAGAGUGGAGCAAUGAGUCGCCCUUGACUGAGUAACUCUUCGGGGUCAACUUCUCCUUCCACGCCAAGGAAAGGAUUCCAGGGCGAUGUUUCUGGAAAUAGAGAUCUGACCAAGCCACUGCUCUGGUGAAAAUUCAGUGGGUCCCUAGCACCUAGUGCAGCGGCUCCUAGCCUGAGUAUUGCCGUCUUUCGGUGGGGAGGGGUUGGGUUUUUUUGUAGCAUCUGUUGAUCUGAUCUCCAACAUCCUCCACGUCAAUUCCCACUCCACCCACAUCCCUUAUCCUAUACGUAAGCUUUCCAGCCACGGUGCUGGCUUGGGUGGGGGUGCGUGCGGUGCUGACACCAAAAUGGAGGUCCCGUGUUUCUGAGAGUCUCUUUCAGAGCAAUGCAAACCUGAAACUACUCCUGCCAAGAAACGAUUGCAGCUCUUCCCGGAAAAGUUAAAGCCUUUGAGAAACAAAGCUGAGAAGGAGAACUAAGAAAGAGACUGAAGCAUGGUCUGUGGAGAAGGCACUUGUGCAAACACCAGGAGAAUGAGGGGCCUGAGUUGUCUUCGUUUCUCCUAAAAGCAUGCAUUCCCGGCUGGGCGCGGUGACUCAUGCGUGUAAUCCCGCCACUUUAGAAGGCUGAGGCAGGCGGAUCACCUGAGAUCGGGAGUUCGAGACCAGCCCGACCAACAUGGAGAAACCCCAUCUCUAUUAAAAAUACAAAAUUACCCAGGCAUGGUGGCACAUGCCUGUAAUCCCAGCUACUUGGGAGGCGAAGGCAGGAGAAUUGCUUGAACCCAGAAGGCGGAAGCUGCAGAGAGCCGAGAUUUCGCCAUUGUACUCCAGCCUGGGCAACAAGAGUGAAACUCCA
rnacentral:lncRNA from 10 species